AAUACUUCUCGGCCUAUUGGCUAUGAUCAAGUGUAGUAUCUGUUCUUAUCAGCUUUAAACACUUGGAUGCCAUCUUUUUGUGAUUCAUGGACGAGGACUCCCAAAUCCCUCUAUUCUGUAACUGUCUACAGUCUUUCUCCAUUUAAAUAAUAUUUAGCUCCUCUAUUCUUGCUGCCAAAAUGCUUAACCACCCAUU